rnacentral:rRNA from 1 species
AAAAAUCAAGGCCUGCCCACUGAUUAAUUAAAGGGCUGCAGUAUUUUGACUGUACAAAGGUAGCAUAAUCAUUAGUCUUUUAAUUGGGGACUGGUAUGAAAGGUUUGACGGGGG